UUGGGCUGCCUCGUCGAGAUGAGCUACCGUAGCAGAAUUCGAUAGAACGUAUCUGUUGAGAUGGGCUACCUAUCAAGUUGGGCUACCUUAAUACCUAUCAAGUUGUGCUACCUACAGUAGUGGCACUGCCAUUUCGUAUUUUCAAACGAUUUAGGGCCAUUUAUAUAAUAAUAUAAUAUGUUUUAUGUACAUUUACACCCAAACCCCAACAUUAAAAAUGCACAUUUACAAAUAAACAGGAUUUUCCGGUCAUUGGUAGUAAGACAAAUGUGUUAAAUCAGGCUCCAACCAUAACCUCUAACGCUGAUAUUUACCACGUUAUGUACAGUAUUUUAGCCUACUUCCUGUUAUCUGUGUUCAUUCUUGGCAAAGCCAUGAGAUAUCGAUGGCUUUGGUUCUGGGGAAGCUGUGGAACUUGCUGCUUAAACGAUCUGUUGGAAACGACGACAUCGAGGCAUCAGAUGAAUCAUUUACAUAAUUUACAUUAUGAAUCUGCAAUAUCAAGAGGAGUGCUCCCAUGAAUUCAUCCAUAGGUGUCUUGUGGGUAUUAAUCCUGAGAGGGGGACAAAGGCAAAUGGCAGGAAAACAAGAAGCACCCCUCCUCAGGUUUCCAUGUGCUCCGAAAACUGAUGGACUGUUGUUAUGCCCUCGUCUGAAAAUGAUGGUGUGCUGGAUGGGAGAGGUCAGAGAUGAUGUUUACGGCUUUCUUGGAAAGAAAAAAAAGGCAGACUACAGCCAACGAUUUUAGAGGCCCUGUGUACUACCCUCUCAAGCCGUUGUUUGUCCUGGCUGGUGGUGGCACUACCAUACCAUGCCAGAGCAGGAUGGAGAAGAAAAGCCCAAGGACUCAGAACAUGAAGCCAAAGAAGUAGAUGAUGACUCGGACCAGACAUACCAAAUGGAAAAGCCCAUUAAACAAAAGUAAUCAACCCUACUGGAGAUGAAUGCGAAAUUCUAAAUCAAGUUUUAACAUUAGAUUUCUAAGUUUCCAAAGGAUAGGUCAAGCAGAAGUAGUGCAAAAGGUGUCCUACUUGCUUCGGUAGGA